GAGGGUGUUAUAAGACUUGCUAACUCUUUAAU
rnacentral:tRNA from 1 species